rnacentral:rRNA from 1 species
CACGUAGGGUGCGAGCGUUGUCCGGAAUUAUUGGGCGUAAAGAGCUCGUAGGCGGUGUGUCGCGUCGGCCGUGAAAACCUGCAGCUUAACUGUGGGCUUGCGGUCGAUACGGGCAUCACUGGAGUUCGGCAGGGGAGACUGGAAUUCCUGGUGUAGCGGUGAAAUGCGCAGAUAUCAGGAGGAACACCGGUGGCGAAGGCGGGUCUCUGGGCCGGUAUUGACACUGAGGCGCGAAAGCCAGGGGAGCAAACGGG